GUGUCUGUGUGUACUGUACACCUCGAAGCUAGCUAGACCUACAGCGCAAAAGGUCCACUUGCGUGCCACCAGGGAUCAACGAUCUUAUGAAAAAUGGAAAACAAAUACUGCCUCUGUAACUUUUUAUAAUAAUAAUAAUAAUAAUAAUAAUAAUAAUAAUAAUUUAUAACACGUUUUUAAAGUCUAUGACAGUGACCAAAAAAUGUUUUAUACUCUGGCUAUAGAGUGGCUAUUUUGAGCACCGAGUUAUAGAGGAAGUACUUACUCUGGCUAUAUUAAUUGUCGUGUACACCUCAAAAGGUCCACUUGCCUGUUGCCACUGCCACCGGGGAUCAGAUUUGGCUAGCACACGACACACACAUCAACAGGACAGGAUGAUCGAUCAUACACGGAAACUUAUGGGAAAUGGAAAAUAAAUUCGAGAAUUUCGCUGCUUUUCCAUCGAGGUUGCAUGGUGCAUGGUGCACACCCUGGUCUGAUCUGGUCUGUUCUUUAGGGCCCUUUCCAUAGUGUCAUGACUCACGGACCACCUUUAGUUCAUGGCAUGACACACACGUACAACCGCACGUCGUCAGUACGUGUUUAUUUGCAUCCCGAGAUUCCCGAUGAUCAUGACAUGGACUCGACUUGUUUAUUUUCUCGACCCAUCGGUGUCGAUUAAUUUUUCUUUGGCGUUUGAUUUUCGUUUGUGUUCUCCCCGUUUUGUCCUCCGGAGGCCGCUAUAUAUAGCCCCUCCACCCCGUCCCAUUGCUCCACACAGACACAUACGCCUCACACUCUCUGAUCAGAUCAGCCACAGAGUCACAGUAGCACUAGCUUGAGCUAGCCACCUUCUGCCACUCCGGGCAUUUUCUUGCAUCCACGAAGGCAAUGGCCACUGCUGAUGUACGUAUAGCUUGUCUCGAUCGUCUUCCUAUAGUUCUAUUCUCUUUUCGUAUGCUUGGAUCGAUGAUCGUUUCGAUGGGUUCUUCAUCUUUUGAUCUGCUCACUGUUUACCCGAUCCAACGAACGGCCGGUCGAUCAUGAUCAUGAUCAUGACCGAGCUCGAGCUAGAUCGGUUUGUGUAUGUGUUUGACAUGUGCGUGGCGCUAAUGAUAUUAAGUGUGCAAACGUGCAGGUCCAGAACCCGGCGGUCGCGCUGACGGAGGAGGCGCCCGCGGUGGAGACACCCCUGGUCGCCGAGGAGGUCGCGAAGACGGAGGAGGCCCCCACGCCGGCGGUGGCCGAAGUCGAAGCGCCUGCUGCCCCCGUCGAGGUUGAGGAGACUAAGGAGGAGGCGCCGGCCGCCGCUGAGACGGAGGAGACCAAGGAGCCCGAGCCCGCAGCUGCGGCCGAGCCGGAGGCCGAGGCGCCAGCCGUGGUCGAGACAGAGACCAAGGAGGCCGUGGCUGAGGCAGAGCCGGCGGUGGUCGAGGAGGUGAAGGAGGAGGCGGCGCCUGCUGCCGAGCCGGAGGUUGCGGCCGUCGCCGAGGAAGCACCGGCUGCUGCGGAGGAGGCACCCGCGGCCGCGGCAGAGGAGCCGGCCGCCGCGGUGGCCAGCGUCAGCGUGUGAGGCGCCGGCGCGCGCGGACGAGGAGCUGGCUGUGUCAGCGUCCACGGCGGCAGCCGUGUGCUCCUACGUGGCACGGCGUGAUGCUCAGUCAGCCAGUGGAGUGGACUGGAGUGGAGUGCUACUUUUUACUACUAGGUGUGGGGUGCUUUGCGCGGGGUCCGCGUGACGUGGGCUAAAUAAAAGUGUUGUCGGGUCGACGCCCAGUCCCAAGUGUCGGUCAGCAGAGAGCGAGAGACGCAGUGCCAGUGUGCCACUCUAGAUAAUGUAUGCUUCUUUUCUCGACAAGACAUGCUUCAUUAUUUCUACGGACAUCUGUUUUCUCUCUGCAUGGCAAACAUAAACCUUGUUUAUCCUAAUUUAGAUUUCUAAACAUGCGUCGUCAGAAGUGUCACCCCUUGGUAUGAGCUACACACGCAUGCAUGCCCGGUCUCUUGCGAAAUAAAAUGCGUGCUUCAUCG
rnacentral:lncRNA from 1 species